rnacentral:rRNA from 1 species
AGUGGAGCCUGCGGCUUAAUUUGACUCAACACGGGAAACCUCACCAGGCCCGGACACCGGAAGGAUUGACAGAUUGAGAGCUCUUUCUUGAUUCGGUGGGUGGUGGUGCAUGGCCGUUCUUAGUUGGUGGAGCGAUUUGUCUGGUUAAUUCCGAUAACGAACGAGACUCUAGCCUGCUAACUAGGCGUAAUUCGACAUCCCAAAGGCCCGCCGGUUUGGGGUCUCGACUCCUUGCCGCGCGCGGUUUUUACUGUCGGCGUACAAACAAUUCUUCUUAGAGGGACAGGCGGCUUCUAGCCGCACGAGAUUGAGCAAUAACAGGUCUGUGAUGCCCUUAGAUGUUCUGGGCCG